rnacentral:rRNA from 1 species
CAAUAGCGUAUAUUAAAGUUGUUGCAGUUAAAAAGCUCGUAGUUGGAUUUCUGGAUGGAGCGACCGGUCGGGCAUUAAUUUGUCUGCACUGGAGUCGGUUCCGUCCAUCCCCUUGGAAAGUGCGUGGGGCAUUAAGUUGUCUGGCGUAUGAUCCAAGUCGUUUACUGUGAAAAAAUUAGAGUGUUUAAAGCAGGCCUUCGCCUUGAAUACAUUAGCAUGGAAUAAUAAGAUAGGACUUUGGUCUAUUUUGUUGGUUUGCAGACCGAAGUAAUGAUUAAUAGGGAUAGUUGGGGGUAUUUAUAUUCCGAUGUCAGAGGUGAAAUUCUUAGAUUUUCGGAAGAUAAACUUAUGCGAAAGCAUUUACCAAGGAUGUUUUCAUUAA